UUCGCCCUUAGAGUUCGUUCCUGGCUCAGGACGAACGCUGGCGGCGUGCUUAACACAUGCAAGUCGAGCGGGAUUCGAGAGCUUGCUCUCAAAUCUAGCGGCGGACGGGUGAGUAACACGUGGGUAAUCUGCCCUCAAGUGGGGAAUAACACAAAGAAAUUUGUGCUAAUACCGCAUAAUGUAUGCUGGUCGCAUGGCCGGCAUAAAAAAGAUUUAUUGCUUGAGGAUGAGCCCGCGGCCCAUUAGCUAGUUGGUGAGGUAAAGGCCCACCAAGGCAACGAUGGGUAGCCGACCUGAGAGGGUGAUCGGCCACAUUGGAACUGAGAUACGGUCCAGACUCCUACGGGAGGCAGCAGUGGGGAAUAUUGCACAAUGGGGGAAACCCUGAUGCAGCAACGCCGCGUGAGCGACGAAGGCCUUCGGGUCGUAAAGCUCUGUCUUCGCUGACGAAUAAAUGACGGUAAGCGAGGAGGAAGCCACGGCUAACUACGUGCCAGCAGCCGCGGUAAUACGUAGGUGGCAAGCGUUGUCCGGAAUUAUUGGGCGUAAAGGGUGCGUAGGCGGUUUUUUAAGUGGGAUGUGAAAUACCUAGGCUUAACUUAGGAAUGGCAUUCCAAACUGGAAGACUAGAGUGCAGGAGAGGAAAGUGGAAUUCCCAGUGUAGCGGUGAAAUGCGUAGAGAUUGGGAGGAACACCAGUGGCGAAGGCGACUUUCUGGACUGUAACUGACGCUGAGGCACGAAAGCGUGGGGAGCAAACAGGAUUAGAUACCCUGGUAGUCCACGCUGUAAACGAUGAGUACUAGGUGUGGGGGGCGAAGCCCUCUGUGCCGCAGUUAACACAAUAAGUACUCCGCCUGGGAAGUACGAUCGCAAGACUGAAACUCAAAGGAAUUGACGGGACCCCGCACAAGUAGCGGAGCAUGUGGUUUAAUUCGAAGCAACGCGAAGAACCUUACCAGGUCUUGACAUCCUCUGACUAUGCUAGAGAUAGCGUUUUCCUUUCGGGGACAGAGAGACAGGUGGUGCAUGGUUGUCGUCAGCUCGUGUCGUGAGAUGUUGGGUUAAGUCCCGCAACGAGCGCAACCCUUGUGUUUAGUUGCCAGCGGUAAGGCCGGGCACUCUAAACAGACUGCCGUAGAUAAUACGGAGGAAGGUGGGGAUGACGUCAAAUCAUCAUGCCCCUUAUGACCUGGGCUACACACGUGCUACAAUGGGAUGUACAGAGGGUAGCGAAGUAGUGAUACGAAGCCAAUCUCAAAAAACAUUUCUCAGUUCGGAUUGCAGGCUGCAACUCGCCUGCAUGAAGUCGGAGUUACUAGUAAUCGCAAAUCAGAAUGUUGCGGUGAAUGCGAGGCCGGGGUUUGCACUCACCGCCCGUCA
rnacentral:rRNA from 1 species